AAGGUUUCCAGAGGAAGGCUCGUCCGCUCUGGGUUAGUCGGGUCCUAAGCUGAGGCCGACAGGCGUAAGCGAUGGAUAACAGGUUGAUAUUCCUGUACCACCUAUAAUCGUUUUAAUCGAUGGGGGGACGCAGUAGGAUAGGCGAAGCGUGCGAUUGGAUUGCACGUCUAAGCAGUAAGGCUGAGUAUUAGGCAAAUCCGGUACUCGUUAAGGCUGAGCUGUGAUGGGGAGAAGACAUUGUGUCUUCGAGUCGUUGAUUUCACACUGCCGAGAAAAGCCUCUAGAUAGAAAAUAGGUGCCCGUACCGCAAACCGACACAGGUAGUCAAGAUGAGAAUUCUAAGGUGAGCGAGCGAACUCUCGUUAAGGAACUCGGCAAAAUGACCCCGUAACUUCGGGAGAAGGGGUGCUCUUUAGGGUUAACGCCCAGAAGAGCCGCAGUGAAUAGGCCCAAGCGACUGUUUAUCAAAAACACAGGUCUCUGCUAAACCGUAAGGUGAUGUAUAGGGGCUGACGCCUGCCCGGUGCUGGAAGGUUAAGAGGAGUGGUUAGCUUCUGCGAAGCUACGAAUCGAAGCCCCAGUAAACGGCGGCCGUAACUAUAACGGUCCUAAGGUAGCGAAAUUCCUUGUCGGGUAAGUUCCGACCCGCACGAAAGGCGUAACGAUUUGGGCACUGUCUCAACGAGAGACUCGGUGAAAUCAUAGUACCUGUGAAGAUGCAGGUUACCCGCGACAGGACGGAAAGACCCCGUGGAGCUUUACUGUAGCCUGAUAUUGAAAUUCGGCACAGCUUGUACAGGAUAGGUAGGAGCCUUUGAAACGUGAGCGCUAGCUUACGUGGAGGCGCUGGUGGGAUACUACCCUAGCUGUGUUGGCUUUCUAACCCGCACCACUUAUCGUGGUGGGAGACAGUGUCAGGCGGGCAGUUUGACUGGGGCGGUCGCCUCCUAAAAGGUAACGGAGGCGCUCAAAGGUUCCCUCAGAAUGGUUGGAAAUCAUUCAUAGAGUGUAAAGGCAUAAGGGAGCUUGACUGCGAGACCUACAAGUCGAGCAGGGUCGAAAGACGGACUUAGUGAUCCGGUGGUUCCGCAUGGAAGGGCCAUCGCUCAACGGAUAAAAGCUACCCCGGGGAUAACAGGCUUAUCUCCCCCAAGAGUUCACAUCGACGGGGAGGUUUGGCACCUCGAUGUCGGCUCAUCGCAUCCUGGGGCUGUAGUCGGUCCCAAGGGUUGGGCUGUUCGCCCAUUAAAGCGGUACGCGAGCUGGGUUCAGAACGUCGUGAGACAGUUCGGUCCCUAUCCGUCGUGGGCGUAGGAAAUUUGAGAGGAGCUGUCCUUAGUACGAGAGGACCGGGAUGGACAUACCUCUGGUGUACCAGUUGUCGUGCCAACGGCAUA
rnacentral:rRNA from 1 species